rnacentral:rRNA from 1 species
GAGGGAAAGGCGAAAAGAACCCCGGCGAGGGGAGUGAAAAAGAACCUGAAACCGUGUACGUACAAGCAGUAGGAGCCCCAUCACUCAAGUGCCUCGCACUGAGUGAUGCAAUAACAUCACCGAAAAUAGCGCCGAAUUUGCUAACAAGGUUGGUCGAUUUUUUCAAGCCGUCGCGCAGUGUACCUAGAAGUACACGAGCAACGGAAGUUAAAAAAUCGGGCAAGAUUGAACGCAAAGGCAAGCGGGACAUUUGAGGAUGGGGUGACUGCGUACCUUUUGUAUAAUGGGUCAGCGACUUAUAUUCUGUAGCAAGGUUAACCG